UUUUACCCAUACGGAGUGUGCGAUCCUUUGUUUUUAUACCCUAUUUUCUUCUAACAGGAAAGCCAGAUGGCAGCCAUUUUAUUAAAAUAUCAGUCCUGGUUGAUUGACAGGCUUCCAAGACUGCCUUCAAUCUUUAAAAUAGUCCUUAAGGUAGCAAGUAUUAAUGUACCAAGUUUGAUACUUGUAUUAUGAAAUUGUACAACUAUUGAAUGUAUCCACUGGACGAUAUUGUGUGGCAGCAGAAAGAUGAGCACCAAACCAAACUGUCACCCUCAACAGGCAGAAGAAUAAUGUUUCAAUAAUUAAAUGUUUAAAAAACAAUAGUGUAGUAUGCAGCUUUCUGAAGAAGCAACAUCAUGGGUAUUUGUGUGCGUGCGGGCACGCGCGCUUAUCUAUCACUUUGUGUUGUCAGUUAGAGACAAGCUACUGAUGUUACUGCUAGUGUCUGAUAAAUAGAUAGAAAGGCUUUCCCACUAAUAUUCUCAAUUAAAUGUUAACUACAAAGUAUGCCUACCUGGCAGAAUGAUAUCAUGAUUAUUAUUUGUUUCAAUUGGGAGGGGAUUUGUUUUGCAAACUGCCAUCGCAGUAGCCUACAGAAACAUCGCUCGCAUUCCGCCACUGUGUCAAAACGCAACCAGGAGUCUUCAGCCUUGUCACUGAAAGAUAGCCACACGUGUCUCAUUAGAGGAAGAAUGCAUUAUUUUUUAGAAGUGAGACCUUUAGUGUGAUGUAGAUAGCCUAAAUGUGAUGCUAAUAAAAUGGGUAUUGAUCAGUAAAAUGUACAUCAGCACUCAGCAGUGCCACAGUACACAUAUACUUGUGCAAAAUCCUCUCACGCCCUCUCACAAACUCCCUUAAAUUCAAAUAAUGUAUUGCUCUGCUGUAUGUGUCAAUAGGGCAUUUAUUAAGGUAAUCAUUUCAAAUGAAUUAUUAAUAACAGAAACAUAGCACUUGAUAAGUUUCCUGUUAUUAACCUGGACUCGGUCUUGUGGUGGUAUCUAUCAUCUGUCAUUGUUGCUGGAGCAGGAAGUGGAACUCUUGACACGUAGUUUAUUAUUAUAUGUAGUGGUGGCACUGCAUAGCCCCUAGACACAACCCAAGAGAAGUAAUUGUCUUUGUGAAAGUCAGACAUAGAAGCGAGAAUACAUUUACCCAGCACCACUUCCUCCUCUCAGCCAGCACCAGGUCAUGUAACUGUUUCAUACCUGUCAAAGGACCAUCACUUUGGUUUGCCUUUUGUUCUGCCGUCGGUCUGAGCAGAACAUAUUGGACCAACGUCUGGUUCUGCAGUGGGUCAGUAUGUGUGGAAGACGUGCAUUCAGGCUUUCUCUGCUUCUGCUGGUGUGGUGUGUGUGCACAGCCUUUGAAGAGAAUCAAGUGAAAACAUUGGAAACAGGAGCAGAUUUGGGCACUCCUGCCUGUCCAAACCAAACCAUUAAUAACAUGAUGUAUGUAAUAUGUAAGAUAGAUAGAGGGAAAAGUGGUGGGAGUGAGUGUCAAGUGUCUCUUCGGUUUGACCAAAAUGGUACAGACAGCACUUGUGACCCCAGAGUCACACUACAGAUAAAGAGUGGUGGAGUAUUUCUACACAUCACCAACAUACAACCAUCUGAUGAAGGGAACUACACCUGUCAGUGUGUAUUUAAUGGAGGAACAGAUAUUUUGCAUCUCAAUAUUUCUGUCAAUGGAUCCCAUGUCAGAAACAUCCUUUCUUUCCAACGUCCUUUCCAUUUCAUGAUAAUAACAGCCUUUGCAGGAUUUGUAGCCGUCGUGGUCCUUGUUGGAAUAAUCAGGAGGAAAUGUAAUGUCAAGUCUUCUGUUCUUUUACACAGCAGGAGAACACAGCAGAAAGCAGUGUACAACUUUAAGGAGGUGAUGCAAC